rnacentral:rRNA from 1 species
AAAACCCCGCCUGUUUACCAAAAACAUCACCUCUAGCAUUACAAGUAUUAGAGGCACUGCCUGCCCAGUGACACAAGUUUAAACGGCCGCGGUAUCCUGACCGUGCAAAGGUAGCAUAAUCAUUUGUUCCUUAAUUAGGGACUAGUAUGAAUGGCCACACGAGGGUUUAACUGUCUCUUAUUUCUAAUCAGUGAAAUUGACCUUCCCGUGAAGAGGCGGGAAUACUCAAACAAGACGAGAAGACCCUAUGGAGCUUAAAUUAAAUAACUCAACAAAAUAAUAUUUACCCAAUAGGAAUUAAACCUAAACCUUGACAUGAGUUAUAAAUUUCGGUUGGGGUGACCUCGGAGUAUAAAAAACCCUCCGAGAAAUUUAAGCCAAGAUUCACCAAUCAAAGCUAAUAAUAACAAUUGAUCCAAUCUUAUUGAUCAACGGAACAAGUUACCCUAGGGAUAACAGCGCAAUCCUAUUCAAGAGUCCAUAUCGCCAAUAGGGUUUACGACCUCGAUGUUGGAUCAGGACAUCCUAAUGGUGCAGCAGCUAUUAACGGUUCGUUUGUUCAACGAUUAAA